rnacentral:rRNA from 1 species
GACGAACGCUGGCGGCGUGCUUAACACAUGCAAGUCGAACGGUGAAGCUCCAGCUUGCUGCAGUGGAGCAGUGGCGAACGGGUGAGUAACACGUGAGCAACCUGCCCCUGACUCUGGAAUAAGCUCUGGAAACGGCGUCUAAUACUGGAUACGAGAUGUGUCCGCAUGGGCAGCUUCUGGAAAGUUUGUCGGUUGGGGAUGGGCUCGCGUCCUAUCAGCUUGUUGGUGAGGUAAUGUCUCACCAAGGCGACGACGGGUAGCCGGCCUGAGAGGGCGACCGGCCACACUGGGACGGAGACACGGCACAGACUCCUACGGGAGGCAGCAGUGGGGAAUAUUGCACAAUGGGCGAGAGCCUGAUGCAGCGACGCCGCGUGGGGGAUGACGGCCUUCGGGUUGUAAACCUCAUUCAGCAGGGAAGAAGCGAAAGUGACGGUACCUGCAGAAGAAGCACCGGCUAACUACGUG